rnacentral:RNase_P_RNA from 1 species
GGAGAGUGAAGCUCAUCAGCAGGGCCACAUGCUGAGUGCUUAUCACUUGCUGGCCCCUGGGAAGUUCUGAGACUGGGCCCUCCAGGAGAAAGCAGGGAGGUGAAUUCCCAGAGCAGGCUGACCCUGCAGGAGAGGCCCUGGGUGGGCGGGCAGAUGCCUCCCUCACAGGAGCUUGGAACAGACUCAGGGCCAGGAUGGGCAGGGCUGGUAUUAGCCUGCAGGAGAGGCUCCUGUGACUCUCACAGAGGGUGGAAAUGCACUCUCUCUACAGGCAGGCAGAGUUGGGGAGAUAGGUGAGGUUGGGAGUUUACUGCCUGCACACUCUGAAUCUAAAUCCCCCUCC